rnacentral:rRNA from 1 species
AACGAACGCUGGCGGCGUGCCUAACACAUGCAAGUCGAACGGGAAGGCCCUGCCUUUGUGCGGUGCUCGAGUGGCGAACGGGUGAGCAACACGUGAGUAACCAGUCCUUGACUUUGGGAUAACUUCAGGAAGCUGGGUCUAAUACCGGAUAGGAGCUCCUGCUGCAUGGUGGGGGCUGGAUAGUUUCGGCGGUUGGGGAUGGACUGGCGGCGCAUCAGCUUGUUGGUGGGGUAGUGUCAUACCAAGGCUUGGACGGGUAGCCGGGCUGAGAGGAUGAGCGGCCAAGUUGGGAUGGAGAUACGGCCCAGCCUCGUACGGGAGGGAGCGGAGGAGAAUAGUGCACAAGGGGCGGAAGCAUGGUGUAACAACGCCGCGUGGGGGAUGACAGGAUUCGGGUAGUAUUGCACAUUUGCCUGUGACGAGGCGUGAGUGACGGUAAUGGGUAAAGAGGCACCGGCUAACUACGUG